rnacentral:lncRNA from 1 species
CUUGCAUUGGCCACAACUGUUUGUAAGCAGUGCCAGAAAAUACUGUGUUGCUUAGCCCUGAGAUUCUUCAGGAGCAGGUCACCCCUGUGAGAAGAUCACCUUCCCAUCCUGUGGGUAUCCACCUCUUCAUGGCUUAUUCCUAAAAGUCUGAAGACUCUAAAUUUAAACGUUUUUCUUCAUUUAUUCCUAAAUGAAGAUAUUCUCCUCAUUUAAGAAACUGCUUAUUUUGACAAAAUCAGGAGAGAUUUUAUGCAUUAUAUUCAUAAAUAAAUCUCUCUAUGUUGAUGAAGAAAAGUUAAAAAUUUUAAAUGACAUCUGUAGCAGCCCUCAGCGCAGUUUCUCAUCCGUGAAAACUCAGAGAAAGAAGAAAAUUCUCAACGCUGACAACCACGACUGAAGACAACCUCGUGUUUCGAUUAAAGGUUUGCAAAAACGUUGCUGACUACAGGGCAGGUGAUGAUUAAUAGAGGAAAACCAAUCCUGGAAACACUGGCUGAUGGAGAGAGCGCCAGAGGAAGGGGAGGAUAGUUAUUCCUCUUUGCCCAUGUGCCUGCUGUCUCAGAGACCCAGAAUCUUCACCAACCAUAAGUCUAAGAGCACGAGAAUGAGGAAUCAUGGCACAAAAGGAUGAGUGGUUAUCCCAUGGAGAAAACAUGGCAGUAUUUGAAAAGAGAGGAAGAAGAGGAGAAACUGGAAAGGAAAGCUGCAAAUAUCAUAUUCUUCAUGUACUUCUUUGAUAGCUAUUUUCUGUUUCUUGGGCACCCAGUAAAUGAAGUGCUAUUCAGAAUACAUAAUGACAUAGGAUCUUCCACAUAAAUUAUUCUAUCCUUGGGCGAUAUGAUCUAUUUUCAUUAAUGAUUAAUUUAUGAAACCUAAGUCAUCCUAUUUUCCCUCCGCACAUGUUCCUAAAGAUUUUGACUUUAAGUCGCAUCUGCCUACCCACUUGGAAAAUCAAGUCUAUACCUAAUUACUGAUUAAUGUGAUAACGAAGUACAGGUUGAGUAUCCCUUAUCCAAAAUUCUUGGGACCAGAAUUGUUUUGAACUUUGGAAUUUUUCAGAUCUUGGAAUAUUUUUAUUAUACCAGUUGAGCAACUCAAACCCCAAAAUCCAAAAUCCAAAAUGCUCCAGUGACUAUUUCCCAUGGGCAUCGUGUCAGUGUUCAAAAUAAUUUUGGGUUUUGGAGCAUUUCGAAUUUCAGAUUUUCUGAUUUGGGAUGCACAACCUAUACACAUUAGGUAAUAGUAUGUUUCCGACACUAAAUUCUAUAGUACGGUCAUUAUUUUUAUCAGUAAGUUUCUAUCACCUAAAGUAUAUUUGGGAUCUUUUUUUCAUCUCUGAACAUUAUAAAAGAACUAAGGAGCCACAUCCUGGGUCAGACCGAUAUGUUAAGUUUACGCUUAAUUUCUAAGUUAGAAAAUUACGUUCCCUCUUUCAAUGUAAAUAUUUUUUUGAAAAGCUAUGGGUCACUAAUUUGAGGCUCUAAAUGGGCCAACCUUGUAAUCUUCAUGUGACGAACUGGUAAGGGAAUGAAGGGAGCUGCCUAGGGCUAUCCUGGAGGCACGAUACACAUGCAGGUGCUGUGUGAGUCCACAGGAACUGUGGCUACUUGUUGAAGAUUACAAGGAGGCAAUCUGAACUCAUAGAGAGCACUUCCUAAGGAGAGCCUCAGAGGUGGCUUCUGCGUAAAGCGGAACCCUCUCUAGCUCUUAAGAGCAUUCCCGCAGGGGCUGGCUGACAACCUGGGAAGCCUGAGGGGCCUCUCAAGUCAGCUCUGACUCUAAGAUUUGCUUUACUAAUAGAAAGAAAAUAUAUUCAAAUCAUGCAUAUAUCUUCCCUGUAUAUGGCAGCUUUAAGAAGGAAAUAGAGUAGAAAGAACACCAGCCCAGGACCCAGGGCAAGUCAACCUGAUCUCAGUUUGCUCAGCUGUAAAAUGGGUGGUAAACUGGAUGGUAAGAUACCUUCAAGUUCUGAGGACCUAUGAACAUAAUUCAUUUCCCUGUGCCUGUCUUGUUUGCCACAACCUUGUGGAAAAGGUAAAAAGACAUAGAAGAGCACCUGACUUAGAAAGCCUCUGCUCAAUGGGGUUGGGCUAAUGGCCUGAAGCCUGAGCCCAGGGUGGAUGCGGACUCUAUGUGGAACAGCUGAGACCCCAAAUGGUCCUGCCAUCUCAUGUCCAGGGGGAUGCAUGGGGCUCCCGUUUCCACAUUCAUCAUCACUUGCCCCUCAGGACCCAGGGAAACAGCAAGGAAGAGUCUCAGUAGAGCCAGGCUAGCCUAGGAAACACUCAUAAAUUCAUAAUGAGUCACUUAAAAGUGUCCCAAUAUAGCAUGCCACAGUCAGUGUGGACAUUGUUUAGACUGUUAAUAUGCACAAACAUCUAAAAAUAUGAAUUAUACUUUGCAAAUACCAUAUGCACCACAUAACGAUGCUUCAGUCAACAACAGAACACAUAUAGGACAGUGGUCCUGUAAGAUUAUAAAUGAGCUGAAAAGUUCCUAUUGCCUAGUGACGUCUUAGCCACCGUAAUGUCAUAGCACAACACAUUACUCACGUUUGUGGUGUUGCUGGUGUAAACCAGGCCUCCAGGAUAGCCCUGGUUUAUCACAUAAAAGUGUACAAUGAUGUCCUAGACCUUCAUAUUCAUUCACAACUCAUUCUCUGACUCACCAAGAGCACCUUCCACUCCUGCAAGCUUCAUUCGUGCUUACGUACCCUAUACAGGAACAGCAUUUUUAGUUUUUAAACCAUAGCUUUACUAUACUUCUUCUAUGUUUAGAUAUUGUUACAUAUACCAAUACGCACUAUUGUGUUAUAAUUGCCGACAGUAUUUAGUACAGUAAAUGCUCUAUAGGUUUGCAGCCUAGGAGCCAAGGCUAUACCAUAUUGCCUAGGUGUGUAGUAGGCUAUGUCAUCUAGGUUUGUGCAAGUACACUCUAUGAUGUUUGCGCCACGAUGACACUGCCUAACAACAUACUUCUCAGAACAUAUCCCCGUCAUUAAGCAAUGUGUGACUAUAGAUUCUUAUCAUGCUCAUGUUUCAGAUUUUGAAACAUCUACUCUGCAUGACAUAAUCCCUAAUUACAGCAGUAUUCCUUAAAUGAAUCCUAUGUGAAAAUAAUGUCUGCAAAAAGACCAGCUUUCCAAGAAGAAGAAAAAAGGACCGAUUCUGAUACCACAUUGGCUGUUUCCAUGAGCUGAACCAGCAAAGCUUUGCUCCAGCAAAGCUUUCCACACACCAUCUCUGUAAACUCAAGAAAGAACAGAGAAUGAACAAGCUUGGAGAAGAAAGCUUUGUUGGAAAGAUAUAUACCAUAUGAGAAGUUGAUCUAAGGACUUUUAGCUCUCUCAAGAGCUUCAUAUUUUAUUUAUUCCCUGUCAUCAAAGCAUCAUCUCUUCGCUAAAGAACAGAAACAAAAUAUUUAUUGACAUUACAUCUAAUAACAAGUAUAGGUAUAAUGAUUAGUAGUACUUAGACAAAUCAAAUUCAUGGGGGGUUUUUCUGUGAUUUAUUGGUGAAGUAAAAAUUACAUAUAUAGUAGGUAGCAGAUAAUUAAAAAUCAAUUCUAACAUAUGUUUCUUAAAAUAGAAAACAAUUCUGGAUAGACAUUCAUAUAAAAGUGUGACUUUUAGUAUGAAGUCUUUAAACUGGGAGUUAUUUUCUCUGGCACAUACAGCUCUUAUCCCCUGGGUGCUCAGGGGUCCCUCUCUAGUAUCCUCUGAAGCAGAGGUGAGAAGAAAUGUCCUAAGCGCACCUGCAAUUAUUCUGUCCAGACCUGUCAGCUCUCUGUCAGCAAAAGCUGCUGUCAUGUGGACAUGGCUCAUCUUGCCUUGAGGUUAAUUUUUUUUAAGACAUCAAAAUCUUAACUCCUUUGUUGGAAAGAUAUAUAUCAUAUGAUAAGUUUUUCCUUCAUACUACUUUCUCUAAAAAAGAAACACGUCAUCAGGAAUUUUAUUAAUAAAAAUGAUGAUAAAUAGUUGCUCCUGUAUUUUCAAAUCAUCAGACUGCUAAUAUGCACAUGCAUAUCUCAAAACAUGAAUUACACAUUUGCAAACAGUUCUUUAUUACAUUCAUGUUUCAGAUUUUGAGACCCCUACUGUGUAAUGAUGUAAUCACUAAUUACAGUGAUAUUCCUUAAAUGUAUCCUGUGUGAAAGCAGGCCUCAGCUACGGCACCUUCAGGAAACCAACAGAGCAAAUAAAACACCCUUAGAAACUGCUUACAAACACAUCAAGACAAAGGGAAAUGUAAUGUAUUACUUUUAUAAAUAACUAGGUAGACCAAAAUUUAGAACUACGCAAAUGUUCCACACAUCAUCUCUGUAAACACAAGAAAGAACAGAGAAUAAACAAGCUUGGACAAGAAAUUGACAAAAUAACAAAUCAAUCGAUCUCUCUCUCUCUCUUUCGAAUUAUUCCAGCUUGAUUCAACUUCUAUAACCCCUUCAAAACAGCUCUCUACGUGGAAACCUCUAAGACUUUCCUGGGCCCCUGGCAAGGUCUUGAAAACAACAUCUGAGAUGUCAUGGUUUCCCAUCCAAUAACAUUGACUUUGAAGUGGUGACUGAGAUGGGGUUUGGUCAUCAAAGGCACAGCUGAAUGGGCAACCUCCAGAUCUUCCUCAGGGACAGCAGCUGUUGUAACAUGCUCUGCAGGUUAUUCAUUCAUACUUUAAAAUGCAGUCUACAAUACCAGUCUCAGGAAAUGGGCCUGCAACAGCACCAUCUCAGCUAAUGGAGAUCUUCCUGGGCAUGGACUUGAAGAAGCUUGGCAGUGCUUUGCUACUUUUAACAUCAUUUAUUUAACUUUCAGAAAUCCAGUCAAGUGCUCUGGCAGUGUGAAGGCAUUACUGGUAAUCACAGGCGACUAAAUGAUUCUUUCAGCUAAUAUUAAAUAUCUAGUAUGUUUCAUGACAGCACAAUGUAGGUAACACCUUUCUUGGAUCUUUCUUUGACUUCUUACCUAGAAUCUGCAAAGCAAAGGGCUGCUGGAAUCUGUCUCUGGAUAAGUCAUUUUCUACAUCCUAAGAGGUGGUUACAAUCUUUUUUUCCUGGCACACUAACUCCCCAUAACUGAUGGUGUCAAAUGGGCUAUUUUUCUUCAGUAGAUGAAUAACACAACAAUGGGAAGCUAAGGGAGGUGAUGCAAAUUCUUAAAUAAUCAUGCAAAGAAAAUGACACACAGUUACACAGGCGCGCCGGUUUUAAUUCAGUGAAGGCACCCCACCCU